UACGUAGGGUGCGAGCGUUAAUCGGAAUUACUGGGCGUAAAGCGUGCGCAGGCGGUGAUGUAAGACCGAUGUGAAAUCCCCGGGCUUAACCUGGGAACUGCAUUGGUGACUGCAUCGCUCGAGUAUGGCAGAGGGGGGUAGAAUUCCACGUGUAGCAGUGAAAUGUGUAGAGAUGUGGAGGAAUACCGAUGGCGAAGGCAGCCCCCUGGGUCAAUACUGACGCUCAUGCACGAAAGCGUGGGGAGCAAACAGG
rnacentral:rRNA from 1 species